ACUCUCUGGUGUCUCCUCAUUUGCGGAUAAAUCUUUCGCCUUUUACUAAAGAUUUCCUUGGGGAGGCACAACACAAUGAGUCUGAACUCAUUUUUUACAACCCCGUCCGUCGGGCGGUGG
rnacentral:snRNA from 1 species